CCCCAGACUCCUACGGGAGGCAGCAGUAGGGAAUUUUGCGCAAUGGGGGAAACCCUGACGCAGCAACGCCGCGUGAUUGAUGAAGCCCUUCGGGGUGUAAAGAUCUUUCAGUGGGGACGAAACUUGACGGUACCCACAGAGGAAGCAUCGGCUAACUCCGUGCCAGCAGCCGCGGUAAUACGGAGGAUGCGAGCGUUAUCCGGAUUUAUUGGGUUUAAAGGGUGCGCAGGCGGAGGUGCAAGUCAGCGGUCAAAUUGCGGGGCUCAACCCCGUACUGCCGUUGAAACUGCAUCCCUUGAGUGCGCGAGAAGUAUGCGGAAUGCGUGGUGUAGCGGUGAAAUGCAUAGAUAUCACGCAGAACUCCGAUUGCGAAGGCAGCAUACCGGCGCGCAACUGACGCUCAUGCACGAAAGCGUGGGUAUCGAACAGGAUUAGAUACCCGAGUA
rnacentral:rRNA from 1 species